CUCCAUUGGUCCACUCAAAAAAGAAAGAAAUUAUAAACAUUACAAAUGUUCAGCAAUGAUUAACUUUAAAAAUAAAUUAUGAUUUAUUUAUAUAGUAGACCAUGAUAUGAGUACAAGGGACUCUGGAAUAUGUGGACCCAAUAUCUUUCAGCCAUAGAGAAGAGCCCUUUGGCUGUGAUUUUGUGGUUGUUGUUGACUUUUUCUUCAGCUGUAUUGAAGUAUAAUUUACAAUACAGUACAAUUCAUAUAUUUUAAUUGUAUAAUUUAAUGACUUUGGGUAAUUGUAUACAGUCAUGUAAAUGUCACCACAAUAAAGAUACAGAACACAUCCAUCACUUGCUAAAAGCCUCUCAUACCCCUUUGCAACCUGCCCUUCACCUGGCUUAGUAGCCUCAGGUAUAUGCUGAUCUGCUUCCCUUCCCUGUAAUAUUGCCUUUUCUAAAAUUUCAUAUAAAUUUAGUCAUACAGAAUGUAGUCUUUUGUAUUUGAUUCCUUUCACUUAGCAUAAUGUGUUUGAAAUUCAUCUAUAAUGUUUUGUGUAUCAAUAGUUCAUUCCCUUUUACUGCUGAGUAGUAUCCCACAGUAUAGAUGUACCACAAUGGAUCUAUUCACCAGCUGAUGGACAUUUGGGUUGUUUUCAAAUUUUGGCUACAAUGAAUAAUGCUGCUAUGUGCAUUUGCAUACUUGUCUUUGUGAGAACAUGUGUUUCCAUUUCUCUAGGAGAAGGGAUUGUUGGGUUACUGGUAAGGAUAUCUUCCACUUUAUUGGACCAGUACCUGUCGGUGGCCUGUUGGGAAUGGGGCUGCACAGCAGGUGUGCGGCAGGAAAGGGAAUGAAGCUUCAUCUCUCUUUACAGCCACCUGCCAUCAGUCGCAUUACUGCCUGAGCUCUGCCUUCUGUCAGAUCAGCAAAGGCAUUAGAUUCUCAUAGGAGCAUGAACCCUAUUGUGAACUACACAUGCGAGGGAUCCAGGUUGUGUGUUCCUUAUGAGAAUCUAAUGCCUGAUCAUCUGUCAUUGUUUCACAUCACCCCCAGAUGGGAUCAUCUAGUUGCAGGAGAACAAGCUCAGUGCUCCCACUGAUUCUACAUUAUGGUGAGAUGUAUAAUUAUUUCAUUAUAUAUUACAAUGUAAUAAUAAUAGAAAUAAAGUACACAAUAAAUUUAAUGAGCUUGAAUCAUCCUAAAACCAUUCCCUUCCCCCACUGUCCAUGGAAAAAUUGUCUUCCAUGAAACUGGUCCCUGGUGCCAAAAAGGUUGGGACCACUCCUUUAUAGGACCUUGUCACUCUGUUUUCCGGCCUGACUGUACCACUUUGCAUUGCCUUCAGCAAUGUGUAAAUGUGUGAGAGUUCCUCACAUUUUUAUUUUUUGGGGUUUUUUUUUGUUUUUUGUUUUUUUUUGAGACAGUGUCUUGCUCUGUCACCCAGGCUGGAGUACAGUGGCAUGAUCUAAACUCACUGCAGACUGGCCUCCCAGGGUUCAAGCGAUCCUCCCACCUCAGCCCCCUGAGUAGCUGGAACUAUAGAUAUGCUCCAGGCUAAUUUUUGUAUUUUGUGUAAAGACAGGGUUUUGCCAUGUUGCCCAGGCCAGUCUUGAACUCCUGGGCUCAAGUGAUUGGCCCAUCUCAGCCUCCCAAAGUGCUGGGAUUACAGGUGUGAGCCACAAUACCUGGUGAUUUUCAUUUUUUUUAAAUUUGGCCACUCUAGUGGACAUUUAAUAGUAUUUUAUUAUUAUUUUAAUUUGCACUUCCUUGAAUGACUUGUGAUGUUCAGCAUCUUUUUAUGUGUUUGUUGGCUAUUCAUUUAUCUUCUUUUAUAAAGUGAUUGUUCAAAUCAUUUGCCCAUUACUUACUAUGUAUGUCUUUUUAUUACUGAGUUUUAAGGGUUCUUUAUAUAAUCUGGAUAGAAGGCUUUUUUAAUAGCUGUUUUGCCAAUGUUUUCUCCCAAUCUGUGGCUUGUCUUUGUUUUCUCAACUCGUUAUCUGAGGAGGAAAAGCUUUAAAUCUUGAUGAAGUCUGUUUUAUCUUUUUUUCUUAUGUGAUUUGUGCUUUUUGUGCCCUGUUUAAGAAAUAAUUACAGGCCGAGGAGGGAGGAUUGCUUGAGUCCAGAAGUUUGAGACCAGCCUGGGUAACAUAAUGAAACCUUGUCUCUACAAAAAAACAAAAACAAAAAAACAAAACUAAAAUUAGCCAAGUGUGGUGGCGCAUGCCUGUAGUCCAAACUACUCAGGACGCUGAGGCAAGAGGAUGGCUUAAGCCCAGGUGAUUGAGUCUGCAGUGAGCUGAGAUCACGCCACUGCACUCCAGCCUGGGCAACAGAGUGAGACUCUGUUACAAAACAAGGCAAGGCAGGGCAGGGCAGGGCAGGGCAGGGCAGGGCAGGGCAAGGCAGGGCAAGGCAAGGCAGAAGGAAGGAAAUUCUUUUAUGCUGUCUUCUAAAAGUUUAAUAGCUUUAGCUCCUUCAUUUAGGUCUACAAUCAAUUCAAAUAUUUGUAUAUGAUAUGAAAUAAGAGUUGAGGCUAUAUACAUAUAUAUGAUACAUACAUGUAUAUGAUGUAUAUAUAAAUGAGUGUAUAUAUAUAAUGGAUAUAUAUAUAUAUCCAGUUGUUCUAACACCAUUUUUUGAAAAGACUAUCUUUUCCCCAUUAAAUUACUUUGGCACCAUUGUUGAAAAUCAAUUGACCAUAUAAGUAUUGGUGCAUUUUAAAGCUUUUAUUUUGUUCCAUUGAUCUCAUAUGGUCUAUCUUUAUGCCAGUAACACACUGUUGUGAUUACUGUAUCUUAAUGAUAAGUCUUGAAUUCAGGUAGUUUAAGUCCUUCCAAACUUGUUUUCCUUUCUUAAGAGUAUUCUUGCUAUUCUAGGUCCUUUGCCUUCUCGAACAAAUUUUAGAAUAUACUUGUCAAUUAUUUUUUAAAUUAAGUUUUAAACAUAAAUACUUUUAAUUGCCUGGCAUUUUAAUGUCCAACUUGAGACCUUGUAAAGAAAAUUGUGGUACAAUACACAUAACAUAAAAUUUACCAUCUUGACCAUUUUUAAGUGGCAUUAAGUACAUUCACAUUGUGCAACCAUCACCACCAUCCAUCCACAGAAAUCUUUUUAUCUUGCAAAACUAAAACUUUAUAAACAUUAAACAAUAACUUUCCAUUCUACCAGCCCCUGGCAACCAGCAUUCUACUUUCUGUCUCUGAGUUUGAUUACUCUAAGUGCCUCAUAAAAGUACAAUUAUGCAGUAUUUGUCCUUUUGUGACUAGUUCACUCAACAUAAUAUCUUCAAGGUCCAUCCAUGUUGUCGGAAUUUUCUUUCUUUUUUAAGUAAAUAUUCCAUUGUAUUCCACAUAUGUAUGUAUAUAUGUGUUUGAGACAGGGUCUUGCUCUGUCACCCAGGCUGGAGUGCAGUGGCACAAUCACAGCUCACUGCAGCCUCAACCUCCUGUGCUCCGGUGAUCUCCCACCUCAGCCUCCUAGUAGCUAGGACCAUAGGUGUGCACCACCAUGCUCAGCUAAUUGUUGUACUUUUUCUAGAGAUGGGGUUUCACCAUGUUGCCCAGGCUGGUCUUGAACUCCUGGGCUCGAGUGAUCCUCCCACCUCAGCCUCCCAAAGUGCUGGGUUUACAGGCAUGAACCACUGCACCCGGCCCCAUUGUAUUUAUAUACUAUAAUUUAAUUAUCCAUCAGUAGACACUUGGGUUGCUUCUGUCAUUUUCUUUCUUAAAAAGUAUUUUGGAGACUAUCAUAAAUAAAAAUGUUUUAAAACUCCAUUUUGAAUUGUUCAUUGCAAAUAUAUAGAAAUUCACUUGACUUUGGCAUAUUGACCUUGUAUCCUUUAACCUUGGUAAACUCACAUAUUGUUCUAGUAGCUUUUUUUAAACCAUUAUAUGACCUUGUCAUCUGCAAAUUUAGACAGUUUACUUUUCCCUUUCCAAUAUGUAUGCCUUUUAUUGCUUUUUUUAAAAUCUUUUUAAAAAUAUUGAACUGACUGGGACCUUCGUACAAAAUUCAGUGUUAGUAGUGAAAGUGGGUAUUCAUGCCGUCCUUGUUUCUAAUCUUAGGAGGAAAGAAUUCAUUUCUUCACAAUUAAGUAUGAUCUAAAUAGUGGAUUUUAUAGCAUGAGAACAGUUAUAAUAGUAGCUUUAAAAUCCUUGGUGGAUAAUUCCAACAUCUGGGUCAUCUUGGAGUGAAUCUCCGCUAUCUUUUCCCUUGAGAAUGGGUCCCACUUUUCCAGUUCUUCAUAUGUCGAAUAAGUUUGGAUUGUACACAUUAUAAACGUUAAGUUGUGGAGGCCCUACAUUCUGAUAAGAGAACACCUUUUCUCUAAUAGGUUUUGUUUAUUUUGUUUUAGCAGGCAUUUUUUUGUGAUUGAACUCUAACUUCAAACUCUGUUUCUCAGGUGGCAGGUCCAGUCUCUUUUAGACUCUUUUGUCUCUGGCUGAGAUGCUUUUGUUUUUGCUGUGUGUGUCCGUGGUUUGGGAUCAGCCACAGACAGGAGCAGAAAGAAUUUGGGAAUUCCCUCUUUGGCUCUUUCUCUUCCAGAACUCUUUCUUCUCUCUUUUGGCAGUUAUAGUUGCCCUGAACUCAACCUUCCAUUUUCAUAGUCCAAAAAGAUGGCUGUUUUUCCACCAGCACCACACCUGGUUUGCACAAUGGCUGCACCUGCCUCCAAGCUAAAAACAGCAAAAAUGGGCGCUCACUUCCUGUAACAUCUUUUCUUUAUUGCGUGGACUUCCCACCAGAAUCUGCCUGCUCUGUCCACUUUCCAUUGUUUUCAGGUAGCUGCAUUUUGUAUUAUGUCCACCUAGAAAAACCACAUCCAGUCAUUCCUGGAAGCAGAAGUCUGGUAUGAUGUGUUAAGGACAAAUAUUAAGAUGCCUCUCUCCCUCUUUUUUUUUUUUUUUUUUGCAGUAUUUAGAUGCUUUUUUGUUGUUGCAGGUUUUCAGCUCCGGCAUGGGCUUCCCUAUUCUGCUGUGAAAUUAAUAUGACAUCUAGUGGCUUGGUAAAGAAGAUCUGGACUGAUUUUAAUGGACACAUCUGGAUUUGGGGCUUCUUAGGUGUGGAGGUGGAGACAGGGGCCAGUGGUUACCAUUACGUUUCAAUGGUUGGUUUUUAAGAAAUAUUUGUUGGAAAACAAAAACUGACACACAUAAAGACCUUGAAUUCAAUCUACUCCUUAAUAGUUAGGAAAGAAAGAAGAAGGGAGGGAAAGAAAAUGGAAAAGAAAAUAGGAAAGAAGGGUAAGAAAAGAGAAAAGGGGCUGGAUGUUGUGGCUCAUGCCUGUAAUCCCAGCACUUUGGAAGGCUGAGGUGAGAGGAUCACUUGAGCCCAGGAGUUUGAGACAAGCCUGGGCAACACAGGAAGAUGACCCCAUCCCUAAAAACAGUUUUAAAAAUUAGCUGGCAUGGUGGUGUGCAUCUGUAGUCCCAGCUACUCGGGAGGCUCAGGUGGGAGGAUCACCUGAGCCCGGGAGUUCAAGGCUGUAGUGAGCCGUGAUCACGCCACUGGACUCCAGCCUGGGUGACAAGAAAUGAGAGGAAGAGAAGACAGAAGGCAGGAGGAGAAGGAGAGCUGGGAUGAUGUGGGCAAAGGGCGUUCAGGGAAGAGGAAGCAAAGCUAAGGGCCUAGAAAUAUGAAAUAACCUGACAGAUCCAGAAACAGGAAUUGGUGGGAAAUAUGGCUUAUAAAGUGGUCUGGGCCUGCGCGAGAGCUCUCAUGGCGUGGGGUGGAAUCCACAUUCUGUACAAUGGGCACGGGGCAGCCCUUCGAGGGCAUCACCAUCAAGGGAGUGCCCUGGAUCCUCCGUGCUCAUGUCCACUCCUUGCCUCUCCCCUCCUCUGCAGUGCAAGGAAACUCAGCCCUGUUGCCGGUCUUCUCCAGGUGCUGAAUCAGCUGCCUUUCGCUGAGUGGCCAGUGGAAGGUUCUGGUAGGAAACAGGGUGGGAAGAAGGGAGAAGUUAGGGUCUCAUCCCGUCUCUCUCCAUCUCAGGUGGCAUAUCCAGCAGUGGCUCUUUUUCCUUCAUAGCUCCAGCUCCUGCCAGAGGGACCCUCACAGGUUCUGGCUCCUGCCAGUGAUCUGGCUGGGGGAUCUGGGAACAGCACCUUACCCCUUCACUCCUUCAUCCUAAGAAUGGCAGUGACUUUGUAUUCCUGAGAAUCUUGGGAUUUCUCUUCCCAGCACCUCCACCAAUUCCCUGCAUCAGAUUCCCUUUGUUGUAACUACUUGGAGUGGUGUCUAUCUUCCUAGUUAGCCCCUGAAUAAUAUCGGGGGGACACUGGCCCCCCACUGCUCUGGUUUCCACACAGAGGGCUUUUUCUCUAAAUCCUCCUGGCGUCUUGCUCUGCUCCUUAAUCCUCCCGAUGGAAGUGUGCUGAGUUAGCUAACUAGUGGGUGACAGCAGUCGGCCCACACUCUCAUUUGCGUGGAUCUCUCCUGGUGGAACUGGGGAGUGCAUUUUAGCAUGCUCAUCAUUGCCAAGCUCUGUCCUCCAGAGUAGUCUGUUCUGUAAUGCAGGUGAUAUUUUAAUCUCCAUCUGUCUGACUCCCUGAGUCUGAAUUGGUUCCCAAGGCUGGGACAAGGAGUCCUGUUUUUUUGUUUGUUUGUUUUUUUGUUUUUUUCUUUCUCAAACUCCAAUAGCAAGGAAGUGGAAAAAAGAUUAGACUUUUGGCCCGGCGCGGUGGCUCACGCCUAUAAUCCCAGCACUUUGGGAGGCCAAGGC
rnacentral:lncRNA from 1 species